GGGUUGUGAGGUUAAGCGACUAAGCGUACACGGUGGAUGCCCUGGCAGUCAGAGGCGAUGAAGGACGUGCUAAUCUGCGAUAAGCGUCGGUAAGGUGAUAUGAACCGUUAUAACCGGCGAUUUCCGAAUGGGGAAACCCAGUGUGUUUCGACACACUAUCAUUAACUGAAUCCAUAGGUUAAUGAGGCGAACCGGGGGAACUGAAACAUCUAAGUACCCCGAGGAAAAGAAAUCAACCGAGAUUCCCCCAGUAGCGGCGAGCGAACGGGGAGCAGCCCAGAGCCUGAAUCAGUGUGUGUGUUAGUGGAAGCGUCUGGAAAGGCGCGCGAUACAGGGUGACAGCCCCGUACACAAAAAUGCACAUGCUGUGAGCUCGAUGAGUAGGGCGGGACACGUGGUAUCCUGUCUGAAUAUGGGGGGACCAUCCUCCAAGGCUAAAUACUCCUGACUGACCGAUAGUGAACCAGUACCGUGAGGGAAAGGCGAAAAGAACCCCGGCGAGGGGAGUGAAAAAGAACCUGAAACCGUGUACGUACAAGCAGUGGGAGCACGCUUAGGCGUGUGACUGCGUACCUUUUGUAUAAUGGGUCAGCGACUUAUAUUCUGUAGCAAGGUUAACCGAAUAGGGGAGCCGAAGGGAAACCGAGUCUUAACUGGGCGUUAAGUUGCAGGGUAUAGACCCGAAACCCGGUGAUCUAGCCAUGGGCAGGUUGAAGGUUGGGUAACACUAACUGGAGGACCGAACCGACUAAUGUUGAAAAAUUAGCGGAUGACUUGUGGCUGGGGGUGAAAGGCCAAUCAAACCGGGAGAUAGCUGGUUCUCCCCGAAAGCUAUUUAGGUAGCGCCUCGUGAAUUCAUCUCCGGGGGUAGAGCACUGUUUCGGCAAGGGGGUCAUCCCGACUUACCAACCCGAUGCAAACUGCGAAUACCGGAGAAUGUUAUCACGGGAGACACACGGCGGGUGCUAACGUCCGUCGUGAAGAGGGAAACAACCCAGACCGCCAGCUAAGGUCCCAAAGUCAUGGUUAAGUGGGAAACGAUGUGGGAAGGCCCAGACAGCCAGGAUGUUGGCUUAGAAGCAGCCAUCAUUUAAAGAAAGCGUAAUAGCUCACUGGUCGAGUCGGCCUGCGCGGAAGAUGUAACGGGGCUAAACCAUGCACCGAAGCUGCGGCAGCGACGCUUAUGCGUUGUUGGGUAGGGGAGCGUUCUGUAAGCCUGCGAAGGUGUGCUGUGAGGCAUGCUGGAGGUAUCAGAAGUGCGAAUGCUGACAUAAGUAACGAUAAAGCGGGUGAAAAGCCCGCUCGCCGGAAGACCAAGGGUUCCUGUCCAACGUUAAUCGGGGCAGGGUGAGUCGACCCCUAAGGCGAGGCCGAAAGGCGUAGUCGAUGGGAAACAGGUUAAUAUUCCUGUACUUGGUGUUACUGCGAAGGGGGGACGGAGAAGGCUAUGUUGGCCGGGCGACGGUUGUCCCGGUUUAAGCGUGUAGGCUGGUUUUCCAGGCAAAUCCGGAAAAUCAAGGCUGAGGCGUGAUGACGAGGCACUACGGUGCUGAAGCAACAAAUGCCCUGCUUCCAGGAAAAGCCUCUAAGCAUCAGGUAACAUCAAAUCGUACCCCAAACCGACACAGGUGGUCAGGUAGAGAAUACCAAGGCGCUUGAGAGAACUCGGGUGAAGGAACUAGGCAAAAUGGUGCCGUAACUUCGGGAGAAGGCACGCUGAUAUGUAGGUGAAGUCCCUCGCGGAUGGAGCUGAAAUCAGUCGAAGAUACCAGCUGGCUGCAACUGUUUAUUAAAAACACAGCACUGUGCAAACACGAAAGUGGACGUAUACGGUGUGACGCCUGCCCGGUGCCGGAAGGUUAAUUGAUGGGGUUAGCGCAAGCGAAGCUCUUGAUCGAAGCCCCGGUAAACGGCGGCCGUAACUAUAACGGUCCUAAGGUAGCGAAAUUCCUUGUCGGGUAAGUUCCGACCUGCACGAAUGGCGUAAUGAUGGCCAGGCUGUCUCCACCCGAGACUCAGUGAAAUUGAACUCGCUGUGAAGAUGCAGUGUACCCGCGGCAAGACGGAAAGACCCCGUGAACCUUUACUAUAGCUUGACACUGAACAUUGAGCCUUGAUGUGUAGGAUAGGUGGGAGGCUUUGAAGUGUGGACGCCAGUCUGCAUGGAGCCGACCUUGAAAUACCACCCUUUAAUGUUUGAUGUUCUAACGUGGACCCGUGAUCCGGGUUGCGGACAGUGUCUGGUGGGUAGUUUGACUGGGGCGGUCUCCUCCUAAAGAGUAACGGAGGAGCACGAAGGUUGGCUAAUCCUGGUCGGACAUCAGGAGGUUAGUGCAAUGGCAUAAGCCAGCUUGACUGCGAGCGUGACGGCGCGAGCAGGUGCGAAAGCAGGUCAUAGUGAUCCGGUGGUUCUGAAUGGAAGGGCCAUCGCUCAACGGAUAAAAGGUACUCCGGGGAUAACAGGCUGAUACCGCCCAAGAGUUCAUAUCGACGGCGGUGUUUGGCACCUCGAUGUCGGCUCAUCACAUCCUGGGGCUGAAGUAGGUCCCAAGGGUAUGGCUGUUCGCCAUUUAAAGUGGUACGCGAGCUGGGUUUAGAACGUCGUGAGACAGUUCGGUCCCUAUCUGCCGUGGGCGCUGGAGAACUGAGGGGGGCUGCUCCUAGUACGAGAGGACCGGAGUGGACGCAUCACUGGUGUUCGGGUUGUCAUGCCAAUGGCACUGCCCGGUAGCUAAAUGCGGAAGAGAUAAGUGCUGAAAGCAUCUAAGCACGAAACUUGCCCCGAGAUGAGUUCUCCCUGACCCUUUAAGGGUCCUGAAGGAACGUUGAAGACGACGACGUUGAUAGGCCGGGUGUGUAAGCGCAGCGAUGCGUUGAGCUAACCGGUACUAAUGAACCGUGAGGCUUAACCUUACAACGCCGAAG
rnacentral:rRNA from 1 species